AUUGAACGCUGGCGGCAUGCUUUACACAUGCAAGUCGAACGGCAAUAGGCUGCAAGGUUCUGACGAGUGGCGACGGGGUGAGUAAUGCAGCGGAACGCGCCCAGUUGUGGUGGUUAACUACUCGUAAGGGUAGCUAACACCCCAUAAUACCUCAGGCUGAAAGCGGGGGACAGCAAGGCCUCUUCCGAUUUUAGCGGCUGAUGUGAGCCUAGGUCGUUGGUGGGGUAAAGGCCCACCAAGCCCACGAUCUGCAGCGGGUCUUAGGGGACGACCAGCCACACUGGGACCUAGAAACGGGCCAGAAUCCUACGGGAGGCAGCAGUGGGGAAUUUUGGACAAUGGGGGGAAGCCUGAUCCAGCAAUGCCGCGUGCAGGAAGAAGGCCUUCGGGUUGGAAACUGCUUUUGUACGGAACGAAACGGCUCUGGUUAAUAACCGGGGUUAAUGACGGUACCGUAAGAAUAAGCCACGGCUAACUACGUG
rnacentral:rRNA from 1 species